AGUCUCCAGCCAUACCACCCUGAACACACCCAAUCUCGUUUGAUCUAGGAAGCUAAGCAGGAUUGAACCUGGUUAGUACUUGAAUGGGAGAAAUCAUUGCAUAAUUCAGUCACAAAGAUUA
ensembl:rRNA 5S_rRNA 5S ribosomal RNA